UCGCACCUACUGAUUAGGCUGUAUCAUGAGUUGGACGGAGAUAACCUUGCAUAGUUUUCUGUGCUUGGUUGACGAAGUUCUGCAAAUGGUAUUGCCCAGAAGAAGGUA
rnacentral:rRNA from 1 species